rnacentral:rRNA from 1 species
UUGAACGCUGGCGGCAUGCCUUACACAUGCAAGUCGAACGGCAUCGCGGGAAAGCUUGCUUUCCUGGCGGCGAGUGGCGAACGGGUGAGUAACACAUCGGAACGUACCGGCUAGUGGGGGAUAACCCGUCGAAAGACGGGCUAAUACCGCAUACGCUCUUCGGAGGAAAGCAGGGGACCUUUGGGCCUUGCGCUAGUCGAGCGGCCGCUGUCCGAUUAGCUAGUUGGUGGGGUAAAGGCCUACCAAGGCGACGAUCGGUAGCGGGUCUGAGAGGACGAUCCGCCACACUGGGACUGAGACACGGCCCAGACUCCUACGGGAGGCAGCAGUGGGGAAUCUUGGACAAUGGGGGCAACCCUGAUCCAGCAAUGCCGCGUGGGCGAAGAAGGCCUUCGGGUUGUAAAGCCCUUUCGGCAGGGAAGAAAUCGGCGGGGCGAAUAACCCUGCUGGAUGACGGUACCUGCAGAAGAAGCACCGGCUAACUACGUG